rnacentral:rRNA from 1 species
UACGAAUGGGGCAAGCGUUGUUCGGAAUCACUGGGCGUAAAGCGUACGUAGGCGGUUAUGCAAGUCAGAAGUGAAAUCCCAGGGCUCAACCUUGGAAUUGCUUUUGAAACUGCAUAGCUAGAGUCCCGGAGAGGUUGGCGGAAUUCCGAGUGUAGAGGUGAAAUUCGCAGAUAUUCGGAGGAACACCAGUGGCGUAGGCGGCCAACGGGACGGGAACUGACGCUGAGGUACGAAAGCGUGGGGAGCAAACAGG